CAAUAAGCGGAGGAAAAGAAACCAACAGGGAUUGCCUUAGUAACGGCGAGUGAAGCGGCAACAGCUCAAAUUUGAAAUCUGGUUACUUCGUAGCCCGAGUUGUAAUUUGUAGAGGAUGCUUUUGGUGAGGUGCUUUCUGAGUUCCCUGGAACGGGACGCCAAAGAGGGUGAGAGCCCCGUACAGUUAGAUACCAAUCCUUUGUAUAGCUCCUUCGACGAGUCGAGUAGUUUGGGAAUGCUGCUCUAAAUGGGAGGUAUAUCUCUUCUAAAGCUAAAUAUAGGCCAGAGACCGAUAGCGCACAAGUAGAGUGAUCGAAAGAUGAAAAGCACUUUGAAAAGAGAGUUAAACAGCACGUGAAAUUGUUGAAAGGGAAGCGCCUAUGACCAGACUUGUUUCUAUCAGUUUCGGUAGUUCUCGGACUGCUUUACUCUGUUAGUACAGGCCAACAUCAGUUUGUUGUCGGGGAGAAAGGUUUAGGGAAUGUAGCUCCUUCGGGAGUGUUAUAGCCCUUUACAUAAUACCCUUCGGCAGACUGAGGACCGCGCUUCGGCAAGGAUGUUGGCGUAAUGG
rnacentral:rRNA from 1 species